AAUUGACGGGGCCGCACAAGCAGCGGAGCGUGUGGUUUAAUUCGAUGCAACACGAAAACCUUACCAAGGUUUGACAUGUCGGAAGUAGUGAACCGAAAGGGAACGACCUGUUGAGUCAGGAGUCGUCACAGGUGCUGCAUGGUUGUCGUCAGCUCGUGCCGUGAGGUGUCGGGUUAAGUCCCAUAACGAGCGCAACCCUUACUGUUAGUUGCCAGCGGGUCAAGCCGGGAACUCUAACGGGACUGCCACCGUAAGGUGAGAGGAAGGUGGGGAUGACGUCAAAUCAGCACGGCCCUUAUGUCCAGGGCUACACACGUGUUACAAUGGUCGGUACAAAGGGCAGCUACACCGCGAGGUGAUGCUAAUCUCUAAAGCCGGUCUCAGUUCGGAUCGAAGUCUGCAACCCGACUUCGUGAAGUUGGAUUCGCUAGUAAUCGCGCAUCAGCCAUGGCGCGGUGAAUACGUUCCCGGGCCUU
rnacentral:rRNA from 1 species